GAUGAACGCUGGCGGCGUGCUUAACACAUGCAAGUCGAACGGUGAAGGUGGGAGCUUGCUCCUGCUGGAUCAGUGGCGAACGAGUGAGUAACACGUGAGUAACCUGCCCCGGACUCUGGGAUAAGCGUUGGAAACGACGUCUAAUACCGGAUACGAGACGAGAAGGCAUCUUCAUCGUCUGGAAAGAUUUUUUGGUCUGGGAUGGACUCGCGGCCUAUCAGGUUGUUGGUGAGGUAAUGGCUCACCAAGCCUACGACGGGUAGCCGGCCUGUGAGGGUGACCGGCCACACUGGGACUGAGACACGGCCCAGACUCCUACGGGAGGCAGCAGUGGGGAAUAUUGCACAGUGGGCGAAAGCCUGAUGCAGCAAAGCCGCGUGAGGGACGACGGCCUUCGGGUUGUAAACCUCUUUUAGUAGGGAAGAAGCGAAAGUGACGGUACCUGCAGAAAAAGCACCGGCUAACUACGUGCCAGCCGCCGCCGUAA
rnacentral:rRNA from 1 species